rnacentral:rRNA from 1 species
UUACACAAUGGGGGAAACCCUGAUGUAGCAACGCCGCGUGGAGGAUGACGGAUCUAGGUCUGUAAACUCCUCUUAUAAGGGAAGAAAUUUGACGGUACCUUAUGAAUAAGCACCGGCUAACUCCGUGCCAGCAGCCGCGGUAAUACGGGGGGUGCAAGCGUUCCCCGGAAUCACUGGGCGUAAAGGGAGCGUAGGCGUUUUAGUAAGUCUUGAGUGAAAGCUCGCAGCUCAACUGCGGAACUGCUCAGGAAACUGAUAGGAUGGAGUAUGGAAGAAGUAGGUGGAAUUUCCGGUGUAGGGGUAAAAUCCGGAGAUAUCGGAAGGAAUACCAGCAGCGAAGGCGACCUACUGGGACAUUACUGACGCUGAGGCUCGAAAGCGU